GCCUCUUCAUCAAGAAGAUGACAGCUAUGAACUAAUUUUCUUUUCUAUCAUGUUACACACUUAUUAGCUCCGGCUGUCCUUGGCAGAUGACUGAUUCUCUCCUUUUAUUGAGCUACAGUUGGAUUUUCCUCAGGGAUGCGUUGGUCCACGUUCACAGAUGGAUUUGCCUGAUACGGAUGAGAUGUCUUCAUCAUCCAACAACGUCAACUCUGCCAGGGUUAGCAGCAUCACAGAGGCGUUGAAAGGAGAAAAAGUUGUUCUGCCUCAGGUCUGAUGUUUCUCAACUGUUGUGUG